UACGGAGGUGGCAAGCGUUAUCCGGAUUCACUGGUUAAGGGUAGCGUAGUGGGCAGGUAAGCUCAGUGGUGAAUCAUCCGUGGGCUUAACCCAGAAACUGCCGUUUGAUACUAUCUGUCUUGAAUAUAGUGGAGGGUGAGCGGAAUAUGUCAUGUAGCGGAUGAAAUGCUUAGAUAUGACAUAGAACACCCAUUGCGGAAGGCAGCUCCGCUACACUAUAUUGACACUGAGGCACGGAAAGCG
rnacentral:rRNA from 1 species